rnacentral:rRNA from 1 species
UCGCACCUACCGAUUGAGUGUUCCGGUGAAGCCUCGGGAUUGUAGUUGGCCUCCUUUAUUGGGUGCUAGCCGUGAGAACUUGUCUAAACCUUAUCACUUAGAGGAAGGUG